GCCUGGCUGGCUCAGUGGGUAGAGCACGCGACUCUUGAUCUCGGGGUCGUGAGUUCAAGCCUCACGCUGGGUG
rnacentral:tRNA from 1 species